rnacentral:rRNA from 1 species
UACGAAGGGGGCUAGCGUUGUUCGGAAUUACUGGGCGUAAAGGGCGCGUAGGCGGUCCCUCAAGUCAGGCGUGAAAGCCCCGGGCUCAACCUGGGAACCGCGCUUGAGACUGAUGGGCUAGAGUUCGGGAGAGGAUGGUGGAAUUCCCAGUGUAGAGGUGAAAUUCGUAGAUAUUGGGAAGAACACCGAUGGCGAAGGCAGCCAUCUGGACCGACACUAACGCUGAGGCGCGAAAGCGUGGGGAGCAAACAGG